rnacentral:rRNA from 1 species
AUUGAACGCUAGCGGGAUGCCUUACACAUGCAAGUCGAACGAGUGGCGCAGGGGUGAGUAAUGUAUUGGAACGUGCUCAGUAGCGGGGGAUAACUACGUGAAACGUAGCUAAUACCGCAUACUAUCGGAACGGGCGAUAUCGGAUUAGCUAGUUGGUGGGGUAAUGGCCCACCAAGGCGACGAUCCGUAACUGGUUUGAGAGGUUGACCAGCCACACUGGGACUUCGACACGGCCCAGACCCCUACGGGAGGCAUCAGUGGGGAAUUUUGGACAUUGGGGGAAACCCUGAUCCAGCCAUCCCGCGUGUGCGAUGAAGGCCUUCGGGUUGUAAAGCACUUUUUUCAGGGAAGCGUUACCUGCAGAAUAAGCCCCGGCUAACUACGUGCCAGCAGCCGCGGUAAUAC